rnacentral:rRNA from 1 species
CCUACGGGGGGCAGCAGUGGGGGAUAUUGGACAAUGGGGGGGAACCCUGAUCCAGCGACGCCGCGUGAGUGAAGAAGUAUUUCGGUAUGUAAAGCUCUGUCAGCAGGGAAGAUAAUGACGGUACCUGACUAAGAAGCCCCGGCUAACUACGUGCCAGCAGCCGCGGUAAUACGUAGGGGGCAAGUGUUAUCCGGAUUUACUGGGUGUAAAGGGUGCGUAGGUGGCAGGGCAAGUCAGAUGUGAAAGCCCGGGGCUCAACCCCGGUACUGCAUUUGAAACUGUCCAGCUGGAGUGCAGGAGAGGUAAGCGGAAUUCCUAGUGUAGCGGUGAAAUGCGUAGAUAUUAGGAGGAACACCAGUGGCGAAGGCGGCUUACUGGACUGUAACUGACACUGAGGCACGAAAGCGUGGGGAGCAAACAGGAUUAGAUACCCGGGUAGUC